AAUUUGAGUUCUUGAGUUUUGCCUCUUGAAACUCGAAUUUUAACACGUAAAAUUCUAAUGAUUUGGAAACUUUAAACUUUACGUUUUUUUUAGUAGAAUAUUAAAGUAAAUGAAUUCUGUAAUAUUAUAGCAGAUUCAUUGAUAUAAUAGGCCUACCGUACUUUGAUUACCGUAAUUCAAGAAAACCGUGAUUCAAGUUAAAGAGGUGCCAUGGAAAACAUUUUGUAAAAUAAUUAAAACAAUUCAUAACAUAGGCGCCUUCAAGGACCUACUAAAGAGACACCUCUACAACAAAGGCCAUACUAUAGCCUGCAGGAAUUCUAUGAUGACAGUAUGUUCCGCAGGGCCAACUAAUGACGUCCACGCAACCAAUGACGACCACGGUGCUGUCGCGCUACUAGUGGGAUAUCUACAAGUAUCAAAAAAACUUCACGUUUUAAACUUUUUUGGAGGAUUCUUGUUAUCUUACUUCAUCCAUCUCUCAACAUAAGAUUCAACAUUGGGUCAUAGAUUGGAGGAAAUGCGAUAUAUAAUAAAAUCAUCUAGAGAAUAGGUGAGUACAGA